rnacentral:rRNA from 1 species
AGCGGCAGGCCUAACACAUGCAGGUCGAGGGGUAACAUAGAGAAGCUUGCUUUUCUGAUGACGACCGGCGCACGGGUGCGUAACGCGUAUGCAACCUACCUCUUACUGGAGGAUAGCCCGAAGAAAUUCGGAUUAACACUCCAUAGUAUUAUCAUUUCGCAUGAUUUUGAUAAUUAAAGGUUACGGUAAGAGAUGGGCAUGCGUCCCAUUAGCUAGAUGGUAAGGUAACGGCUUACCAUGGCAACGAUGGGUAGGGGGCCUGAGAGGGUGAUCCCCCACACUGGUACUGAGACACGGACCAGACUCCUACGGGAGGCAGCAGUGAGGAAUAUUGGUCAAUGGAGGCAACUCUGAACCAGCCAUGCCGCGUGCAGGAAGAAUGCCCUAUGGGUUGUAAACUGCUUUUAUUUGGGAAUAAACCUUUCUACGUGUAGAAAGCUGAAGGUACCAAACGAAUAAGCACCGGCUAACUCCGUGCCAGCAGCCGCGGUAAUACGGAGGGUGCAAGCGUUAUCCGGAAUCAUUGGGUUUAAAGGGUCCGCAGGCGGACUGAUAAGUCAGUGGCGAAAUCCCGUAGCUUAACUACGGAACUGCCAUUGAAACUGUCAGUCUUGAAUUCGGUCGAAGUGGGCGGAAUGUGUC